rnacentral:pre_miRNA from 1 species
AGCUUUUUGAAUCCGUACUGAGAUUUCGUCAGACAUCAACCUAUUAGGGAUGAUCAGACUUCCAAGAUAAGUGAAGUU